GAGGGCUCCGUCCUGGGCUCCCCUCAAGUGUGGCCUUUCCGAAAGCUUGGAGUCGCCCCACUGAGGAGACGUUGAGGAGGUUCCCCUCCCACUCGUGACCACUUUGCCCUCUUUCUCGAGCACACAGAAGUGGAGGCUAAAUUGCCAUGUAGCGGGAACAUUAGAGAGCUCUGUGUUCCCUUAACCACACUCCUCUGGUUCCACCUUGGAGGGGCCGAGCUGGUCCACCACGGGGGGACCCUGGAUGCGUUGCGAGUCCCCAGUCAGUCUGGCUGUGUUUUAUCUGAACAAAACGUCUGACUUUAACCCCAGGCGGAUUUCUCUUCGGGUUGUAAUUAUUCCGGAACAAACAGAGAAAAUAGGAAGGUGCGUCCCCCUGGGAACGGUGCCUCCUGUAUGGAAGGGUUCCCACCGGAAAUCUUCAAAACGUGGUGUUCUUAUAUUGAUCCAGAUAAAUGCCUGCCGCCGUCCAGCUUCCCCUGUUACAUGUAGAUGAGUUCUCAAAACAAAACAGGGGCUAAAUGGAUGAAAAUAGAGAUUUCACUUCCAGAUUGGAAGCCAUUCCAUACAACUCUCGGAGAUCAAAUUACUCCUUGAAACCAGACCAGAGCAAAAUCCUAACUCUCUACACUGAGCACCUUAAAUCCCCUCCAUCUUCCUUGGGAAAAUGAAAAUCUGCACGCUCCAGUCACAGGAAUGAACUCUCACGUGACCGAUGUGCAGAGCAGUGCUGAAUGAAAAUGUCCACAUGUGGCCCCUCACUCUGGCCUGUACGUGGGAGCCCAACACUGCCUCUCUGAAGCCUCUCCACAUCCACCAGGGAAGGAAUGGCCUCCUCCCUUCUCUCCCAUGCUCGUGGUGCCUCCUAAAAUUCUGGCUGAAGUUGCUCACCCCAGCCAAGGUGAAGGUGAUAGCUUGUCACAGGAAUUCAGAGGCAAGCGUCUUCUCCCCUUCUAUGCCGUGUGUCUUACACCUCUUAUUUUUGAAAAGCCAAAUCACAGAAUAGGCGCGUGCUAACCGCGGGAAGCUGGCUGCAGCACAGGCCACCAGGCCUGAGUUUGUAACUGUAAUCUGUUAUGUAUUUAAAAGGAGUUUGUGUCUGAAAUUUUCUUCUCAGAGCAGAAGGCAUGCGGAGACCCCGGAGACCCUCUCAGACAGAGAACAUUUAUCAUACACAUGGACAAAGGGGGAUUUUUCAAAGAUUUAUGUUCUUGGGAAAUAUCUUUUAGCAAGGAAUUUCUUUUAUUGCUGGGGAAUGACGGGAAAUUGUGAAGGCAGUUGGGACCUGUUUUCAGGGUGGGCGGCAAGGAGCCCUGCCUGGGGUGUGUCCAUGGCUCACCUCUACCCCCAACUUGGGAAGCUCUCCCUUUCCCCAAGAGAUUUGGUGAGAAUCUCCCAUCUGCUUAGGGUCACUUUUGUGGUGGCUUAGUCACUUUCCUCAUUGCUAGGACACAAUACCUGAUGCCUACAACUUGAAGGAGGAAAGGUUUGUUUUGGCUCACACUUUCCAAGUCUCCAAGCUUGCAUGGUUGGCUGCUGGCUCCAGGCAAAAGCAGCAUGGCAGGCAGGAAGCAGAGAGAUCAACGGAGGAUCCAGGAAGGGACAGAUAACUUUCUAGGUCACACCUACGGUGACUACCUCUUCCCAUUAGACCCUGCUUCCUAACAGCAAAUCGCUAUGCCACCCCCAUAAUCCAGGCACCUUUCAAACACAUGAGGCUUUGGGGGCCAUUUUAGAUCUAAACGGUAGCAGGCAGCCAUUUUGAACAGACCCAAAGGCCUGCAGGUGAUAUUCAGAGCUUCAGCUGCUGUUACUUCUGGGUUACUGGCUUCCUCAUCUUGGAACCACCCAGGGACACGGACUUGGGAGAGCAGUAGGUUUAUUGGAAGCAACACGUGUGAAAGGAAAGGUGGGGGAAGUGGGAUAACUCAGAUCACCAGGAGACCUAAGAAAGUGCAGCCAGGCUCCGGCGGGGUUGGGGGGCACUAGGGUACAGAUAUCCCAUGAGGAGAAGAGCAGCUUGAAGCAGGCUGUCGAGGUGCUGAUUUCCCUCUCUCUCCUACCUUGAAUCUCAGCAGGAGGCAGUUUGGCCCCCAGGGAUCUUUGGCAAGAUCUGCAGUCAUUCCCGAUUGUCCGAACCAGGCAGGGUGCUAUUAGCUUCUAGUGAGUAGAGGUCAGAGGAUCCACUGAGCACCCCACAACUGACAAGAUGAUCCCCUCCCAGCAAAGUUCCGGCCCCAAAUGUCCACAGUGUUGAGGCCAAGGAAUCCUGCUCUGAUCCAGCCC
ensembl:lincRNA